rnacentral:rRNA from 1 species
UGGGGAAUUUUGCGCAAUGGGGGAAACCCUGACGCAGCAACGCCGCGUGCGGGACGAAGGCCUUCGGGUUGUAAACCGCUUUCAGCAGGGAAUAUCGUGAAGGUACCUGCAGAAGAAGCUCCGGCUAACUACGUGCCAGCAGCCGCGGUAAUACGUAGGGAGCGAGCGUUAUCCGGAUUCAUUGGGCGUAAAGCGCGCGUAGGCGGCCCGUCAAGCGGGGUUUCAAAUCCAGGGGCUCAACCUCUGGCCGGACCCCGAACUGGCGGGCUCGAGUGCGGUAGAGGAAGGUGGAAUUCCCAGUGUAGCGGUGAAAUGCGCAGAUAUUGGGAAGAACACCGAUGGCGAAGGCAGCCUUCUGGGCCGCCACUGACGCUGAGGCGCGAAAGCUAGGGGAGCGAAC